GGAGAAUAUACCGUACAUGGGAGCGGCGCGGACUGUAAAUCCGCUGGUUUAACCUCGGUUGGUUCAAUUCCAACUUCUCCGACCA
rnacentral:tRNA from 1 species